CAUACCAAUUGCAAAAGUAGACAACCCAAGGUAUUGCAAAUGGGGUAUGUCCAAUCAUUUUUAGUAGCCACUUAGUCACAAACACUGGCCAAAUAUUAGUUUUUUUGCUUUUUUCACACAAAAACAAAUAUGAAUGCUAACUUUGGCCAGUGUUUGUGACCAAAUGGCUACUAAAAAAGACUAAACAUACAACACGUUCAAUACCUUGGGUUGUCUACUUUUUCAAAUGGUAUG